rnacentral:rRNA from 2 species
ACGUCGGGCUUAGCAGUCGACGAACUCUGGUAUUGAUUGGUGCUUGCAUCAUGAUUUACAUUUGAGUGAGUGGCGAACUGGUGAGUAACACGUGGGAAACCUGCCCAGAAGCGGGGGAUAACACCUGGAAACAGAUGCUAAUACCGCAUAACAACUUGGACCGCAUGGUCCGAGUUUGAAAGAUGGCUUCGGCUAUCACUUUUGGAUGGUCCCGCGGCGUAUUAGCUAGAUGGUGGGGUAACGGCUCACCAUGGCAAUGAUACGUAGCCGACCUGAGAGGGUAAUCGGCCACAUUGGGACUGAGACACGGCCCAAACUCCUACGGGAGGCAGCAGUAGGGAAUCUUCCACAAUGGACGAAAGUCUGAUGGAGCAACGCCGCGUGAGUGAAGAAGGGUUUCGGCUCGUAAAACUCUGUUGUUAAAGAAGAACAUAUCUGAGAGUAACUGUUCAGGUAUUGACGGUAUUUAACCAGAAAGCCACGGCUAACUACGUGCCAGCAGCCGCGGUAAUACGUAGGUGGCAAGCGUUGUCCGGAUUUAUUGGGCGUAAAGCGAGCGCAGGCGGUUUUUUAAGUCUGAUGUGAAAGCCUUCGGCUCAACCGAAGAAGUGCAUCGGAAACUGGGAAACUUGAGUGCAGAAGAGGACAGUGGAACUCCAUGUGUAGCGGUGAAAUGCGUAGAUAUAUGGAAGAACACCAGUGGCGAAGGCGGCUGUCUGGUCUGUAACUGACGCUGAGGCUCGAAAGUAUGGGUAGCAAACAGGAUUAGAUACCCUGGUAGUCCAUACCGUAAACGAUGAAUGCUAAGUGUUGGAGGGUUUCCGCCCUUCAGUGCUGCAGCUAACGCAUUAAGCAUUCCGCCUGGGGAGUACGGCCGCAAGGCUGAAACUCAAAGGAAUUGACGGGGGCCCGCACAAGCGGUGGAGCAUGUGGUUUAAUUCGAAGCUACGCGAAGAACCUUACCAGGUCUUGACAUACUAUGCAAAUCUAAGAGAUUAGACGUUCCCUUCGGGGACAUGGAUACAGGUGGUGCAUGGUUGUCGUCAGCUCGUGUCGUGAGAUGUUGGGUUAAGUCCCGCAACGAGCGCAACCCUUAUUAUCAGUUGCCAGCAUUAAGUUGGGCACUCUGGUGAGACUGCCGGUGACAAACCGGAGGAAGGUGGGGAUGACGUCAAAUCAUCAUGCCCCUUAUGACCUGGGCUACACACGUGCUACAAUGGAUGGUACAACGAGUUGCGAACUCGCGAGAGUAAGCUAAUCUCUUAAAGCCAUUCUCAGUUCGGAUUGUAGGCUGCAACUCGCCUACAUGAAGUCGGAAUCGCUAGUAAUCGCGGAUCAGCAUGCCGCGGUGAAUACGUUCCCGGGCCUUGUACACACCGCCCGUCACACCAUGAGAGUUUGUAACACCCAAAGUCGGUGGGGUAACCUUAGAACAGCCGCCAAG